rfam:Schistosoma rodhaini strain Burundi genome assembly, scaffold: SROB_scaffold0000587
CUGCUGAGGAGUCCCAUAAUAGGACGAAACGGUAGUCAAGCAG